UGUUGCCACGGAGGACGCCGAGCAGUGGCACAACAGCCUGUUCUUCAAAAAAGACCAUAAGGUUCUCUCUGCAUGUCUCAGUUGUGCGGUGAAAAUCUCAUCUUUGUUUGUGCAAAUCCGUUUUUGUCUGUGCUUUAGAAGGUGCUUGAUAAAAAUCCUAGCUAAUAUGGUUGUAUGUGCUAUUUAAAGAGAAGAAAAUAGACUAUCUGGUGACCUUUGGAGAUGUAAGUAGCAAGAAUCAUCGCUUAUAUUCGACCAAGGAGAAAGAGGAGCAGUGCUUGGGGGCUCCGAUGUGUCGGCGGCGCUGCGCCCCUUGCCAACGCCUAGCAAGGUACCUUCCCAAAUCCCAAGUUGUGAUUGCUGAUAUUUGUAUUUUACUUGAGGCAUGCAUGAUUUAUGAUCGAUUUAGGUUUGGGUGAUCUGGUUGGUCAUUGUGGCGCUUUGCAUACAGAACACGACCUGCCACUUUUCCAUGACAUUGAGACGAGGCUACAAGCUGCAAAUGCCUAUUCUUGUUUCGAGGAUAUUCAGUCUGCAAGCCUCACUUUGUUGUAUUUUAUGAUGGCACUCAUCAUCUUCAAGAUGACAGCAAUUCAUGACAAUUCUAGGUCUGCCAAUAGAAGCAUAAUUAUUGUCAAAUGCAAUUACGCAUCCUCAAUCAGGCUACAAACAAGAAAGCACAAAUGUUCUUUAUGUACAAGGUAAGGCUGAUACCUUUUACCCUUAGCCAAUAUGAUCUCCCGUCCUUUUUUUACCAAGUUUAAGCCAUGGACAAUCAAUGCAGCUUAAGCCAUUCUACAACAGUUUACCCACCAUGAUCCAGGGUAAUGAUCCAUGCAGCUUAAGCCAUUCUACAACAUGAUCCAGGGUAAUGAUCAAUGCAGCUUAAGCCAUUCUACAACAUGAUCCAGGGUAAUAAUCAAUGCAGCUUAAGCCAUUCUACAACAGUUUACCCACCAUGGGCGAAGUGAUGGUGACAUUCUCUCCGUCAUACACAUCAUCCUAUUGGAGAAGUCUCAGUCCAACUGUCUUUCGAGCAAGCAGUGUAUAUUUUGUUGACUAUACAGUUAGUCCGUAGUAAAAGACAUGUUGUACUAAUGAAGAUUUACAUAGUGUUUCACCAAUUGGAUAGUUGUGUUACAUUUGAUGUUUGAUUACCAUCGAUUUCUACAUAUGCUUAAUAGUGUUUUACAAAUUAUUUAUCAGGACCGUGAGCCAAGGGGGGGCCCCAAAUAUUUCACUAUUUCCUUGAUUGUAUAUGAUGGUGUGCUACCCUAUUUGUUA